GAUGAAGAACGUAGCGAAAUGCGAUAAGUAGUGUGAAUUGCAGAAUUCAGUGAAUCAUCGAAUCUUUGAACGCACAUUGCGCCCUUUGGUACUCCUUAGGGCAUGCCUGUUCGAGCGUCAUUUACAAAUUCAAGCUCAGCUUGGUGAUGGGUGUCUGUCCCGCCUUUGCGCGUGGACUCGCCUCAAAUGCAGUUGGCAGCUUAUCCCUCGGCUCUAAACGCAGCAGAUUUGCGUCGAGCGUCGUGUGGACGGGCUCUCCAGUAAGCAAACCCCCCAAAAUUGACCUCGGAUCAGGUAGGGAUACCCGCUGAACUUAAGCAUAUCAAUAAGCGGAGGA
rnacentral:misc_RNA from 1 species